GUCCCCCGGCGCCGGCGACACUGUCCCCGACCUCUGGCUGAAGUCCUCCUCAUCGGAGAAAUCGGCGGAGGACGACAUGGAGCAUCGUGUGGAGGUACCUCUGAGUAAUGUGUACACAGAGCUAUUGAGCACAAGUUUCCUGCUCACUUAGAUGGUGAGCUUCCACUAUAGGCUGUGUUUCCUCAAGGCGAGGUGCUGCACGUCUUCGAGCAUGACGAGG